rnacentral:rRNA from 1 species
AACGAACGCUGGCGGCAUGCCUAACACAUGCAAGUCGAACGAAGCCUCGGGCUUAGUGGCGCACGGGUGAGUAACGCGUAACUGACCUACCCCAAAGUCGCGGAUAACGAUUCGAAAGAAUCGCUAAUACGUGAUGUGCUGUCAGAUUGUGUUCUGCCAGUAAAGAUUGAUUGCUUUGGGAUGGGGUUGCGUUCCAUCAGCUAGUUGGUGGGGUAAAGGCCCACCAAGGCGACGACGGAUAGCCGGCCUGAGAGGGUGGCCGGCCACAGGGGCACGGAGGCACGGGUCCCACUCCUACGGGAGGCAGCAGUUAGGAAUCUUCCACAAUGGGCGAAAGCCUGAUGGAGCGACGCCGCGUGAGGGAUGAAGGUCUUCGGAUCGUAAACCUCUGAAUCAGGGACGAAAGACACUUCGGUGGGAUGACGGUACCUGAGUAAUAGCACCGGCUAACUCCGUGCCAGCCGCCGCCGUAAAAC